CUGUAAACGGCAGCGCGGGGUAACCUGGCGGCGAGUGGCGAACGGAGUGAGUAAUACAUCGGAACGUGCCCUGUGAUGGGGGAUAACUACGCGAAAGCGUAGCUAAUACCGCAUACGACCUACGGGUGAAAGUGGGGGAUCGCAAGACCUCACGUCAUAGGAGCGGCCGAUGGCGGAUUAGCUAGUUGGUGAGGUAAAGGCUUACCAAGGCAACGAUCCGUAGCUGGUCUGAGAGGACGACCAGCCACACUGGGACUGAGACACGGCCCAGACUCCUACGGGAGGCAGCAGUGGGGAAUCUUGGACAAUGGGGGCAACCCUGAUCCAGCAAUGCCGCGUGUGGGAUGAAGGCCUUCGGGUUGUAAACCACUUUUGGCGGGGGCGAAAUAUCGAGUGCUAAUACCAUUCGGUGAUGACGGUACCCGCAGAAUAAGCACCGGCUAACUACGUGCCAGCAGCCGGGGGUAAU
rnacentral:rRNA from 1 species